CAAGAAAGUUGCCCUUUAGCUCCAAGGACUUAGGAAUGCAAACAGAGCUACUUUCAUUUUUGCAGGGCACAGACCUGUCUUUUCUGUAGUGAUGGAAAGAACCUCUCUAAAAGAGGGGACAUUAGAGGCAUGGGGAGGAUUGAAUGUCAGAUUGGGAUGAACCUCCAGAUCUGGUGGCAGAGGAUUCUUACAAGUAAAACAAGCAGACAAAGAAGAAAAACGUGCUCUGGCAGAAUAUGUAAAGGAAAGUGAAGAACCUGCUUUGAUUGAAGUCAAAAAUCAGAAACUCCUCAAAGCACAGAAGACAAAAAAUCAGUA
rnacentral:lncRNA from 11 species